rnacentral:rRNA from 1 species
AAUAAUUAGUUUUUAGUUUUGUUUCUUUUUGAAAAUAAAUUAUCUAGAUUUAAAAAGAUUUUUAAUCGAUUGCGGACAAGCUCGUAUAGGAUUCAGAUUGUUGGUAGGUAAGGCCUACCAAGUCGAUUAUCUUUAGCUGGUCUGGGAGGAUGGUCAGCCACAUUAGAUCUGGAAAACGUCUAACUAUCGAAGUGGUAGCAGCAGUGGGGAAUCUUGGACAAUGUGUUAACACACGAUCCAGCAAUAUCUUAGAGACUAUGAAGGUUUGAGAGAACUGAAAGGUUUAGAAUAAUAAAAGAACAAGGUAUUUCUUGACUUACUUUUAUUAUGUAAGCUCCGACUAAUUUCGUGCCAGCAGUCGCGGUAAGACGAGAGGAGCAAGUGUUAUUCGUGCUGAUUGGGCGUAAAGGGUAUGUAGACGGUUAAAUAAGUUUAAAGUUAAAAACAAUGAGCUUAACUCUUGAGAAGCUUUUUAAUACUAUUUAACUUUGAGUAUAUUAGAAAAUAGUGGGAUUUUUAGAGGAAAGGUAAAAUUUUAAUGAUUUUAACGGAGACCGAAGCUUGCGAAGGGCG